UCCACGCCGUAAACGAUGAAUGCUAGUUGUUGGGGAGGUUUACCUUUCAGUGACGCAGCUAACGCAUUAAGCAUUCCGCCUGGGGGAGUACGUUCGCAAGAAUGAAACUCAAAGGAAUUGACGGGGGCCCGCACAAGCGGUGGAGCAUGUGGUUUAAUUCGAUGAUACGCGAGGAACCUUACCAGGGCUUAAAUGUAGCUGGACAGAUUUAGAAAUAGAUCCUC
rnacentral:rRNA from 1 species